rnacentral:rRNA from 1 species
AACGAACGCUGGUGGUAUGCUUAACACAUGCAAGUCGAACGGGCAUAGUAAUAGGUCAGUGGCAAACGGGUGCGGAAUAUAUAGGCAUCUACAUAGCAGAAAGGAAUAACUUUAGGAAACCAAAGCUAAUGCCAUAUAUUACCGACUUCACGGGAAAGAUUUAUCGCUGUUAGAUGAGCUGGUAUCGGAUUAGCUAGUUGGUAGGGUAAUGGCCUACCAAGGCAAAGCUCCGUAGCUGGUAUGAGAGGAUGAUCAGCCACAUUGGGACGGGGACACGGCCCAAACUCCUACGGGAGGCAGCAGUGGGGAAUAUUGGACAAUGGACGAAAGUGUGAUCCAGCAAUACCACGUGAGUGAUGAAGGCCUUCGGGUUGUAAAACUCUUUUAGUAGGGAAGAUAAUGACGGUACCUACAGAAAAAGCACCGGCUAACUUCGUGCCAGCAGCCGCCGUAA